UGAUCCUGGCUCAGAAUGAACGUUGGCGGCGUGGAUUAGGCAUGCAAGUCGAACGGGCCGCAAGGCCAGUGGCGGAAGGGUGAGUAAUGCGACGGUAACCAACCCCGGAAAUGGGUAUAGCCGCGGGAAACUGCGGGUAAUCCCCAGCGACGUGUCGGGUCGGCAUCGACCUGACACCAAAGCUCCGGCGUUCCGGGACGGGCCGUUGUGGUAUUAGCUAGUUGGCGGGGUAACGGCCCACCAAGGCUGCGAUGCCUACCGGGCGUGCGAGCGUGGCCGGCACACUGGGACUGAGACACUGCCCAGACUCCUACGGAGGCUGCAGUCGAGAAUCUUCGGCGAAUGGGCGGCAAGACCUGACCGACGCGACGCCGCCGUGGAGGACGGAAGGACCGUUCGGUU
rnacentral:rRNA from 1 species